GCGGGUCCCGCCGGCGGGUCCGGGCGUCCGCGCGAGUCCGCGCGAGUCCGAGCCGGCGCGGGAGCCGGAGUCCGAGCGGGAGUCCGGGCGGGAGCCGGGCCGGGCGCGGUGGGCGCCGCCCGCCAUGGACCACAAGCCCCUGCUGCAGGAGCGGCCGCCCGCCUACAACCUGGAGGCCGGCCAGGGCGACUUCGCGUGCGGCCCGCACGGCUACGGCGCCAUCCCCGCCGCGCCCCCGCCGCCGCCCUACCCCUACCUCGUCACAGGGAUACCCACCCACCACCCCAGGGUCUACAACAUCCACAGUCGAAAUGUCACCAGGUACCCUGCCAAUUCCAUCGUUGUCGUUGGAGGCUGCCCGGUCUGCAGGGCGGUCAGCUGGAGGAGGACAGAAACACCGGGCUUCUUUGGGGGCAGGAUCGAUUUUUCCGUAUUCUCAAACCAGAGCCUCUGGAGUUUGGCAGGUGUCUGUAGGAGUCAGACUCGGAGAUACAAGAAUUUUUGUAGAAACUAGCAUUUGCUUCUUGUUCUUCCUUUUGUGACGGAGGAGAAAACACGGCAGGUUAUGUGGCAACUGAACGUUCUUGUCUUUAGUCGGGGUUCUGGAGGACUCCUUCACCUUCCUGGGCAUCUUCUUGGCCAUCAUCUUGUUCCCGUUUGGGUUCAUCUGCUGUUUUGCCUUGAGGAAGCGAAGAUGCCCCAACUGUGGAGCAAACUUCACUUAAAGGGAACAACACACCUGGCUUUCCUACAUCCAGCUGUCUUUUUCUAAUGUAAAUGUCGUGUACAGUAGCUUUAUUUGA